rnacentral:lncRNA from 1 species
CUUUUCGGCCGCGGCGUGCGACUCGGCUUGGACCAGUUUAAGAUGCUGACAAGAUUCAGGGCUGGUGCUUAGAAGAAGCUUUUCAAGGAGAGGACAAAGGAUGGACCAUAGCAUAGCAUCUCAUGAUUUGCAGAUACAGCCUACGGCAGUGGGCUGCAACCCAGAGAAAUAUUCACUUCCAGAGACUCCAUGGACCAGAUAGGCAUCAUCACCAACAGCUCCAAGUAUUUGAGCUGUAUGUCUCCUACUAAUGCAAGAUGUGAGGCUGUUGAACACCCCAGGUAGGCUGAGAAUGGAGUGUUACUUUUCAUUACGAUCUCAGCUAGUGGUUGGAAUGACUGAAACAAUCCUUCAGGUGUGGCUUAUUACCCGAACGAGCCAGUCUUCAAAGUGCAGGCGGCCGUGAAAGUAAAAUAAAACCACCUGCUUUGUUUUCUGGGAAAGAAAGCUAAGAACGUACGAUUUUUUUUUUUUUAAAUUCCAUUGUUUUUAUAGGUUUUUCAAUUUUCUAUGGAUAUAUAUUUCUGUGUGAGUGCUUGUCAUGUUUAGUAAUCAGUAGUUGCUAUGGGUGAAAGUUUAUCAGAGCCCCUUGUAAACUUUCAAGCAAUUUCCUUCAGUUCUUCAGUUGACUUUAAAUAGGAAAGAAUUCCAGCGGCUGUCUGCAGUAGAUAGUAUAUAGAACAGGAUAGAAUUUAGAACUCUUUGUUGUCUGUCAUUGUUUAACGGUAUCUUUUGGUCUCAAGAAGUCCUCCCUAAAUUUUUUUUUUUUUUCAUGAUGAUUUACUUUUAGCAGUGCUUGAGGAUGUGUGUGUGUAUGUGGUGUGUGUGUGUUAGGGGUGUAGAAAAUAGAACGUUUACAAAGGGUAUAUUGGAAAUAUCUUCACUGUAAGACCCACACACUCUGAUGUUCUUGGCAAUAAAGUCACGUAGUCAAAGAAAAUGAAAUCUCUCCAUCGAUAGCAUAUCAUAGUGGAAAUAAAGCAUGUGUUUUGAGUCAGAGAAUCAUUCACACUUUGUAGCCUUGCUGAUCCUUGGGUAUGUUAUUUUGUGUGUGUGUGUGUUUGGGGAGCUCAUUGAACUUCUCUGCCUCAGUUGCCAGUGUCUUUUUCAGUCCAAUAAGGAUUCUAGUGCCUAUUUUGGGGUGACUGGUAGAAUUUAAUGAGGAAAUAUACCAUGUCCUUAUUAUAGGACUUGAUGAGCUUUAGAACUUUGUAAAUAGCAAAUAGCAUAUUGAUUAUUUUUAAUAUUAAGCUACUUUUUAAAAAUUAUUUUUAAGGAGGUAUUGUUGAUUUACAAUGCUGUGUUAGUUUCAGGUGCACAGCAAAGUGAUUCAGUUAAACAUACAACUAGCCAUUCUUUUUCAGAUUCCUGUUUAGGUUAGGAAUCUGUUUACAGUCCUAUUUACAGACGAUUGCGUAGUGUUCCCUGUGGUGUAUGGUAGGUCCUUUGUUGAUUAUCUAUUUUAAUGUAUAAUAUUGUGUAUGUGUUAAUCCCAAUCUCCUAAUUUAUCCCUUGACUAACCAACUGAAGUAAAACGAUAUAUGUAACUACCUGUUCCUUCAGCUAAAAUAAAUUGGCAUUAGUAGUAUUUUAAAAACCCUUUUCAUAGACUAAAUAUUGUAAAGCAAAUUACAGUCUCCCCUUCUGAGUCAUUUUUUGCAUCCCAAUUUCUAUUUUCCAGGCUAAUUAGUAGAAUAGCUGAAGCAAGGGAAAAGAGUGGUUGAUACAGCAAGUUUCCUGUAUUACUAUAUUCUGUAUAUAUCCCAGUGAGAAAAAGAAAAAAAAAA